rnacentral:ncRNA from 1 species
CACACAAUGUGUUCGCUCUGGGAGGCAGUUUUCUUGCAGAGAAUAAAGCUUAGUGGGUGGGAAACCGUUCACAAGGCCGUAUCCAGCUCUAAAACCAUCGCUAUUAGAGGUUGCUUCCUCCUGUAGGUUAAGCGAUCCAUGAAAUGGUGAUGACCUGAAGUCUGGAACAUUU